AUUGAACGCUGGCGGCAGGCCUAACACAUGCAAGUCGAACGAGUGGCGGACGGGUGAGUAAUGUCUGGGAAACUGCCUGACGGAGGGGGAUAACUACUGGAAACGGUAGCUAAUACUGCAUACCAACAUAUGUGCCCUGAUGGGCGUAGGUUGUUGGUGGGGUAACGGGUCACCAAGGCGACGAUCCCUAGCUGGUCUGAGAGGAUGACCGGCCACACUGGAACUGAGACACGGUCCAGACUCCUACGGGAGGCAGCAGUGGGGAAUCUUGCACAAUGGGCGCAAGCCUGAUGCAGCCAUGCCGCGUGUAUGAAGAAGGCCUUCGGGUUGUAAAGUACUUUCAGCGGGGAGGCGUUACCCGCAGAAGAAGCACCGGCUAACUCCGUGCCAGCAGCCGCGGUAAUUC
rnacentral:rRNA from 1 species